rnacentral:lncRNA from 1 species
GAGAUUCCAAAAGUUGGUGGCCUCCGCGGUGGCUUCAGAGUGACUCUCCCUCAACCUGCGAAGCUCGCCCUCCGUCUUCUUCGAUCUUUUUGUUAAAUAAAGGACUUCCCUCUUCAACUGCUGGAUUGUAGACUUCAGUGGAAUCCCCUGUGGUAGGAGAAGCACUUCGGCAGGACACUGCCAUCGGGAGAUAAAAGCAUCAAGGCGCGCCUCAUUACAAAAAGAAAAACAAAAAAGGAGGAGGAAGGAAGAGAGGAGAAGCCGUCCACGAUGAGAAAUUCAACUUUAUUGAUUGAAUGAUUCUUAAAGACAAAAAGGAAAGAAAAAAUUGUAGUAAAAGAAAGAUACAAGGUCGGAGGUCUCAGACCUCAGAA